rnacentral:lncRNA from 1 species
UCGACUCACCCCGACUCUCUCUCCAACUCACUCCGACUCUCUCGCUGUCUGACUCACUCCACAGCCACCCCGACUCUCUAGUACCCAACUCUCGUGGUAGCAUUCACUCUCUUUCCAAAACUCCACUGCUACUCUGACAAUCUCUUUCCUAAUCCCCGACUCUGAAGCCCUUGACCACGAAUCCACCGCCUCCGAGAUCUCUCUGGUACCCCUCCGAUUCUCCCCUAGUCGAGCGAGCUGGGCGCUGGGAAUAAAGUCGGCGGCCUAGGCGGGGCUGGGCGGCUCUGGACGGUCGGAGCCUAGGCGCUUUCUCCCUUUCUAGGUUCGAAAUCAAGAAGGAACGCCGCUCCUCGAUCAGUCGAUUCUCAGACUCUCAGUCUCUCACCGAGUCUCCGGCUAGCUCUCUAGCUCUCUAGCUCGCCGGUAAAUCG